GGCAGCGACUUUCCAGACAUGGAAUGUUCAGUUGUCGAAUUCUGGCGAACGUUACAUUAGGAUUGCCACCAACAAGUGCAUUAUUCGACUGGCGAUGUAUGGGAGAUUUUUCCUGCUCAAAAUACGAUGAGAUAAUCAGGCACGAUGGAUCCCUGCUUACCUGCUCCCGCAGGUGCGAUCCCACCAGUGCGCGUUCAUGCUACGAAAUCGAGAAGGAAAACGACCGUUGCCUCAAUUUUGAACAUGCUACGUUCGGAAAGUGCUACGAUGGAGUAUGUUGGGCCUUAGAUAAGUA